GAUGAACGCUGGCGGCGUGCCUAAUACAUGCAAGUCGAGCGAACGGACCAGAAGCUUUCUUCUCUGAUUUUAUCGGCGGUCGGGUGCUUAACACGUGGAUAACCUACCUCUCCGACUGGGAUACCUUCGGGAAACCGUAUCUAAUACCGGAUGAUUUUUUGAACCUCAUUGUUCAAAAGUUAAAGACGCUCUUUCUGUCACUUAUAGAUUGCUCCGCGCUGCAUUAGCUAGUUGGUAAGGUAACGGCUUACCAAGGCAACGAUGCAUAGCCGACCUGAGAGGGAGGAUGGACAGACGGGAAGAGAGAAAGGGGAGAGACACCGAGGGGAAGAAGCAGUAGGGAAUCUUACGGGAGGGAGGAAAGCGGGACGGAGCAAAGCCGCGGGAGGGAUGAAGGUCUUAGGGUCGUAAAACGAUGAUAUUAGGGAAGAACAUAUGUGUAAGUAACUGUGAACAUCAUGACGGUACCGAAUCAGAAAGCUACGGCUAACUACGUG
rnacentral:rRNA from 1 species